rnacentral:rRNA from 1 species
AUGAACGCUGGCGGCGUGCCUAAUACAUGCAAGUCGAGCGAACAGACGAGGAGCUUGCUCCUCUGACGUUAGCGGCGGACGGGUGAGUAACACGUGGAUAACCUACCUAUAAGACUGGGAUAACUUCGGGAAACCGGAGCUAAUACCGAAUAAUAUAUUGAACCGCAUGGUUCAAUAGUGAAAGACGGUUUUGCUGUCACUUAUAGAUGGAUCCGCGCCGCAUUAGCUAGUUGGUAAGGUAACGGCUUACCAAGGCAACGAUGCGUAGCCGACCUGAGAGGGUGAUCGGCCACACUGGAACUGAGACACGGUCCAGACUCCUACGGGAGGCAGCAGUAGGGAAUCUUCCGCAAAGGGCGAAAGCCUGACGGAGCAACGCCGCGUGAGUGAUGAAGGUCUUCGGAUCGUAAAACUCUGUUAUUAGGGAAGAACAAAUGUGUAAGUAACUAUGCACGUCUUGACGGUACCUAAUCAGAAAGCCACGGCUAACUACGUG